AUCGCUUCUCUGCCUUUUGGCUAAGAUCAAGUGUAGUAUCUGUUUAUAUCAGUUUAAUAUCUGAUAUGUCCCCUCUCCGCGGACCAUAUAUUAGUUGACUUUUGGACAAAGGAGAUGGUAUAGGAGCUUGCUCUGACCACUCUACGCAUCGGCCUGGUAUUGCAAGAAAUGACGUGAAUGUUUUACCUGGACAAUAUUUCUGGUAUCGAUGGGAAUGCA
rnacentral:snRNA from 1 species